UGGAAUAAUUUCCCAUUCUCUCAAAAUAGUUCUCCUUUGAUGAGAUAUAUGUUGGAGUACAAAUGUUUGACCUAUUCUAAGAAUUUCACAAAAGGAGGAUCAGAAUUAUGAUUUGCAUGAUUGCUGGAGUGUUCACUUUUUGGUCAGAUCACUUUCUUAAGAUUUCCUAAGAUUACUAAUGCUUGAUGAAAAUCACUUUGUUUUUUCAUUUUAUUAAUUAGGGAAAUAACUACAAGUCUGUCACUUUGGGAGAUUUCUUCUCCCUCCUUGAACCUCUGUGAUGCGGUUGCCAAGCAACAGCUCCUUUGAUGUGCUAACAUUCUACUGGCAGGACUGCUACUUACAGUGGACAAUUCAGGUGCCUUCUGGGAUUGACCUUGGAUUUGGAAUUUUCUCUUGUUCUUUAUGUGGUAAAAAUUUUUGCUUUCUAUUAAAUUUUACAUAGCAUACUUUAUCUUAUGAGUAUAUAAAAUAGAAUAGUCAUAUACAAAACUAAAAAUCCCAGAAUAAACAUGUCAUAUUGUUGUAUUUUAUUUUUACUUUAGAUAUCUCAUACAUUUUUAUUGUAUUUUCAUGAAAUUCAUUUUAGGGAACAGUACUAAUAUCUAUUAAAUUAACUUUGUAUUAAGGAUUUUUUUUUCUCUUCUUGUUUUCUUUGGUUGUUCAGUUUAUAUUUUCUGUGGCUGUUGUGAGAUGAUAAGGACAAACCAGAAGUAGAUCCUACUGUUAAAUACCUUUUAUUUAGCAGGAGAGAUGAAAAUUUGACAUAGUACAAUAUCAAAUGAGAUAAUAAUGAAAUGAAUAGUCUGCAGGGCUAGAAGAGAAUACCCAGGCUGGGUAAUUUAUAAAGACUGGAAAUUUAUUUCUCAUGAUUCUAGAUUCUGGAGGCUGGGAAUUCCAAGAUCAAAGCACUGGCAUUCAGUAUCUGGUAAAGUGGUAAAAGCCUUCUUCUUUUUUUUUUUUUUUCUCAGCACCAGGGAUUGAACCCAGGAGCAUUUAACUACUGGGCCCCUUUUUUCUUUUUUCAUUUUUAGACAGGGUUUCCCUAAAUUGCUCCAUCUGGCCUCAAACUUAGUAAUCCUUCUGCCUCAGCCUCCUGAAUGACUGGGAUUACAAGUGUGGGGUACCACGCUCAGCUUGGUGAAGGCCUUCUUAUUUCAUCCUUACAUAGUAGUAGAAGAAAAGAGAGUGAAUUCUCUCACUCAAGUUUUUUUUUUUCUUCCUGUACCAGGAAUUGAACAACCCAUUGGCAUUUACCAAUGAGCCAUAUCCCCAGCUCUUUUUAUUUUUAAUUUUGAGACAGGAUCUUACUAAGUAACUUGCUAUCUUCCUGACUCAGCCUCCCAAGUCACCACCUGCACCCAGCUACCUCAAGACUUAUUAAGAGUCCUGAUGCCGUCCGGGAGGGCUCUGCCCUCUUGAUUUAUCACCUCCUAAAGGUCCUACCUCUUAAUACUAUCACACUGACAACCAAGUUUCAACAUAUUAAUUUAGGGGAUACAUUCAGACCAUAGCAAAGUUAAGAGAAAAGAGAGAUCACCUUUGCUGUGUAGAAAUGAAGGAAUGGUAUUUGAACUGACACUGAAGAAUUUUUAUAAAAGUUCACCAUCUGGGAAUGGCCUGCACAAUAGCUUGUUUUUUAGAGAAUCUGAGUGAAAAUCAAUAAAUAAAGUUGUUUUUAAUAGAGCACAAGGGUCUAGGGAAUAGCUCAGUGGCUGAGUGCUUGCCUAGCAUGUACAAAGUCCUGGGUUUAGUCCUCAGCACUGCAAAAAGAAAAAAAAAAUAAAGGCCAAGAUUCAUAAGAUGGUAAGAAAAUAAAAAUGAAAGUAAAAACUGAGAAUAUUAGGAAGAAAUUUAUUUUCAGUAUCAUGAUAUUUCCAGGAUUAAGGAGGAAUUUAUUUUUCCUUCCAUGAAAACUUUAGUUCUUUUGAUUCUCUUCUUUGGCUUUUAGAAAAGAAACUGAUAUAGUAAUGAUCUUAGGUAUCAAAUAAUGAGAAUAGGGGAGAGAUUAAAGUCUCACUAGACAUAUUUAUGCUUUAAUAUUUGCUUUUGAUAAUAUUAAAUUUAAAUUAUUAGAUUUUUUAAAUAUUUUUUUAAUUGUAGUUGGACACAAUACCUUUAUUUUAUUUACUUUUAUGUGGUGCUGAGGAUCGAACCCAGGGCCUUGCAUGUGCUAGGCAAGUGCUCUACUGCUGAGCCACAACCCCAACCCUAUUAGAUGGAUUUUAAAACAGACUUCAGGGUUAGUAAAGAAAACACAGGCCCUUAUUGCAUUGUGUUCCAUGCUCCUCAAGUCACAGGGUCCUUGGGGCUAGGGGUGUGGUUCAGUGGUAGAACUCUUGCCAGGCUUUUCUGGUUUCCAUCCCCAGUAUCAUACACCACACACACACACACACACACACACACACGUACACACUUGAGUGCGAAUGCACACACACCUGCACACACAAGUCACAUGAUCCUGAUGUUUUUUUUCUUCCCUUGAAAAUUCCUAUCAUUCUGAGACUGUCCAAUUCUAUGGGAGACAACACUCAGCAAAGGAAAAACAUACCCCACACUUACAUGAAGCCCCUUCAGGGCAGUUCCUAAACAUCAGAAUGCAUUCCCUGAUUUUGUUUUGUUUUAUUUAUUUAUUUUGGUACUGGGAGUGGCUCUACUACUUUGAUCCCAGGAGUGGCUCUACUACUGGGCUACAUCCCUGUUUUUAUUUUUUAAAUUUUGAGAUAGGGUCUCACUAAGUUGUUGAGGCUAGCUUCAAACUUUCUGUUCUGCUUCAGCCCCCCAAGUAGCUGGCAAGUACCACUACACCUGUCUAUUUCCUGGUUUUGAAAAAGGAACCCCUAUCCCGUUGCUUGAUAAAACAUAGAAGGUCAAUUUUUAAAGUUUUCUCUAUUCUUUAAGAUUUUACUUUAGAAAAGAAAGAUAAUAUAUGGAAUUGAACUGGGUAGAGAAAAUAGAUUUAAGGCAAUGCUGAAAUUCUUAGAGAAUUUAAUUUACAAAAAUUACAAUAUGAGGUUACAUUUUAUUUUCCUCUGGGGUAUAAAGAGCACUGUGAACUAUCACAUUCUAUGUUAUCAAUUCAUAUUUGACUUUUAUCUUUUAGUGGUAUCUUGAGGGACAUAAUAUUUCUAACAGAUUAAAAAUAAGGGAAAAUUUACAAGUCAAAUAACUAAAAACGUGAUUAACAAACAACAUUGGGGGUAAAAUUCAGUAGUAAAGCGCUUACCUAGCAUGCAUAAGGCUCUGGGUUCAAUCCCCAUCACUAAAGAAAAAAAAGGGGAAUGAUAUUAUGAGUGCACAUACCUACAUUCACGUGCUACUUUCACCAGUUACAAUCUAAACAGAGUUUGGUCCUGUCUCUAGAAACCAGGUCUUCCUUUUCUCUAAGCAAUAGGUUCAUUGGGCAGCUUCUUCUGAGGUCUAACUAAGCCCUGAGGAUCUGAAGUAGAACCUUCUAGAAGACAUUGCUUUUGAUGCCCAACAGACCUCAGCAUCUCUUCUUGAGUACUCUAUGGAAACUUCCCUGGGAAGCAUCUGGGGUCACCGUUAGCAGAUCCGAUUCAUGCUGCUUGUAUCUCCAGCAUGUCAAGCCCUCUCCAAUCUCUAAACCACUCACAUCCAGGAAGGCUUCCUACUAGGCCCCAUGAGGCUAAGUCACCACAAGUCAGGCAGCUAUCAGCCUGGAAAAACCAUCCAGUGGUGAGUUGUACUCUGGUGUUUAUUUUUUUCCCCAUUCUCAUAAGGAAGUAAAUCAAUCUCUCCCACACAACUGAGAGCUUGAAGAAAGGGAAAGUCCAUUCUGUUUGUCCAUUUGCCUAUGCUAGUGCCCUGACCCCUUUCUUUGCUAGUGAAUGAAUACAAGAAAUGAGGUCAAAUGAUAUCCCACUUCUUUUGAUUUCUGGCUUGAUUCUAGAACAAGGAGCAAGGAAAUAUUAGAAUCUAAUAAAACCUCAAACGGAUUUUGGUUUUGACUGUUUUUGUAGUUCUGGUAUUUCACUAAUGCCCAUUAUCCCCAAAAUAAUAUAAAAAUAGACUGUAAAUUGAGUUUGAUCUAGUUCAAUUAUUUUGCAGAUUAGGAUACUGAACCCCAGAGAAAGGCCACAGUGAUUAAGUGGCGGAACUAAGUAGUCUGACUCUCAUUAUCUUUUUAGUGCACCACAUUUUUUUGUUUGUUUAUUUGCUUUUUGUAGUACUGGAGAUAGAACCCAAGGCCUUACCCAUGCUAGGCAAGCAUUGAACUAUAUCCUCAGACUUUUUAAUUUUUAUUUAUUUAUUUACUUUCUGUUUUUUGCAGUACUGGGGAUUGAACUUUAGAGUGCUCUACUACCAAGCCAUAUCCCCAACCCUUCUAUUUUUUUAUUUUAAGACAAGGUCUUGCUAAGUCAUCUAGGCGAGGCUUGAACUUGCCAUCCUCCUGCCUCAGCCUCCUGAGUUGCUGGGAUUAUUUUUUAUUUUAAGAUAGGGUCUCACUAAGACUGGCCUCAAUUUGAGAUCCUUCUGCCUCUGUCUCUAGUAGCUGUGAUUACAGAUGAGCACUACCAGGCCUGGAAUCAAUUACCUAGUAGUUCAUGUUUCUAUAAACUUUUUAUUAGAUGCACAUUAAAAUUUCCCCAUUUUAUUGAUUCCUAUGUUUUCAGAAAUUGUGUCUGCACAAUUUAUAGAUGUGCAGCAUUUCCUCAUGGCUCACAUUACAAAUUGUUUUAGAAAAUGUGAAGUAGCUUUUUGGGUCAGCAUGUUGUUGCUUGCUGUUUUCUUGGGACCUAAUGUGUUUGUUAGGGUAGCACCUCAAAAUGAAUAUUUUCAAGUUUGGUCUAUUUAAAACUACUUACUUGAGUUAAUAUAAGCCAGAAUAUUGUGGGUUUUUAUUCACAGGGUACAUGUUUAGUAAUUAAUUGGCAAUUUCUCUUUGUAGGCUUGUUUUGAUCUACCUCCUGAGGUGAUUUCUACCAGGAACCCAGUUACAUGCAACAAAAGGGCAGCUGACCCAGUCCAUCCUGACUUUGCUGGUUUGUUGGUGAAAAACAAGAAUCUUUUAGCUGAGGUAUAGAGAUUAUAUAAACAAAAAAGAACACUAGAAAAUUAUAUCUUCUGUAGAAGUAGGGAGAGUAAACAUUCUGAUAAAGAGCUCAAGGUAUUAUCUAUCCCACUUUUGCUUUUUUUGUGUGUGUGCGUGUUCUCAAUAUUGAAUUCUUUCAUUCCUGAGGAGUAAUUUUAAUUUAGACUCAAAUCUGUCUUUUGACAGAGAAUAUCCACUGGAGAUGACUGACAAAUUUGGGAUAUUAGAACACAGCUUACAGAUUACCAUGCUUAAAAUUUAUGUAAAAAUAAUAAUCAAUUAUAUGUACUAAGUUGUUUGUUUUCCAGUGCUAGGGAUUAAACCCAGGACCUUGACCAAGCUAGGCAAGUGCUCUACCACUGAGCUAUACUGCCUACCUUAAUUUUUUUUUUUUUUUUGGUACUGUGAUUGAACCCAGUGGUGUACUACUAUUGAGCUAUACCCUCUGCUCUCUUUAUUUAUUUAUUUAUUUUUGAGACGAUGGCUUACUAAGUUGCCAACGCUGGCCUUCAACUCACAAUCUUCCUGUCUCAGCUUCCCAAGUAGCUGGAAUUAUAGGUGUGCGCCACCAUGCCUGGCUCCUAAAUAUUUUUAAUGAAAAAAAUGAGCUCCUAUUUUCAGCAUACCACCAAAUGGCAAAUAUUCACUAGUUUAAUUUAAUACUUGAUAUAUCUCAUUGGCAUCAAUAGAUUAAAAAACAAAAACAAAAACAGAAAACACAUUUGUAGGAAAUCCCUUGACUUUUACUCCCUCUGAUGAAGACUAGAGAGCACCUGUAGAAAUUCUUUAGUUGAGCCUAACUAUUCUCAGGAUUUGUUGCAAGAAAUAGUUCCAAAGGUAGCCAUGGUUGGAAGCUCAAAGGUCAUUGUUAAGGGUACUAUGAUGUAGCCAUUUAUGUCUAUGCUGCCUCUAUGGUUACCUCUAGGCAAAAUGCUGGGAAUGCUUACAUUUGAGGGGCAAUGACCAGCCCUUUGAAUAAGUAGCAAUCUAUGGUGGCUAUUUCCUAGGCAGCCAUAACAAAGUGUCAUAGACUGAGUAGAUUUAACAACAGUUUAUUUUUUCACAGUUGUGAAGGCUAGAAGUCUGAGACAGAGGGCUAAAAAUGUGACUUAGAAGUAGAGUGCUUGAAGCGCCUGGUAUAUGUGAAGACCUGGGUUUGACUCCCCAGAGUGGAACAACAGCACCCCACCCCCGUCACAUCAAAAAAGUCUGAGACAAGGUGUCAGUUGGGUAGUUUUUUUGGUUGGCUUGUAGCUGGUGGUCUUCUCCCUGUCUUCAUGUGGUUUUUCCUGUGUAUCAGCCUAUGUCCAAGUUUCCUCCUCUUAUAAGGAUACCCAUCAUAUUGAAUUAGGGCCUACCUUAAUGAUAUCAUUUUAACAUAAUUACUUAACAUAAUUACUCAAAUUCAGGCACGUGCUGAGAUAUUAGGAAUUAGGACUUCAACAUACAAAUAUGGGGGCAGGGACUCAACUCAACAUAGUCAUUUAUAGUGGAUUCUUUGCUGCCCAGAACCAUAUAAAAGUUCUUUUCUAUUAUUUCCUCUAUCAAUGGCUUGAUUGAUUCCAGAUUUAAUUUAAGUAGAUACAAGUAUAGAUAUAGAUAUCUAGGUAAAUAUAUAUAUAUAUAUAUAUAUAUAUAUAUAUAUUUCCAUUUUAUCUACACAAGAGUGGUAGAUAGAGCUUAGAUUUAAAUUGAGCUUAUGUAGACAUAGUAUAUCUUAUGAAAGCUUUGAUAGAGUCAUAGAUUUUUCUUUUCUUUCAGGAAAAAUUAUGUCAAUCCCUUAAAACUAUAGAGAUCUUAUUAUAACAGUCUAACUUAUUAUUAAUAAUCUCAGAAAUUUGAAUUUUUGAUAAUUCAUAUUUGUAUUAGAUUAAGUUUUAUGUCUAUGCAUAAUUCAUUUAAAAACUUUUAAACCAUCAAGUAUAGUGGCAAAUACCUAUAAUCCCAGCAACUCAGGAAGCUGAGGCAGGAGGACCACAAGUUUGAAGCUAGCCACAGCAACUUAGGGAGACUCUGCCUCAAGAUAAAAUCAACAGAUUUGGGGAUAUAGCUCAGUGAUACAGCACUUGCCUAGCAUAUGCAAGACUCAAGUUCAAUCCCCAGCACUAGGAAAAAAAAAAAAAAAAGCUACUUGUCAUGUGUACAUAAAUCAUUUCCUAAUUACAUAUAUGUCUUCAUCUAUUUAACAAGGUAAAUAUCUGAAAGGCUCUGUAAGAUCUCAUUUUGACAUGGUUUUAGAUAGUUCCCAUUGGCAUUGUCUAAAUUUAAUACAAAUUAGUGUCAGCCAGGUAUAGCAGCACAUGCCUGUAAUUGCAGCAAUUUGGGAGAGUGGGGCAGGAGGUCGCAAAUAAAGAAAAAAAGAAAAGAGAGAAAGAAAAGGGCUAGGAAUGUAACUCAGAGGUAAAGCACUCUCAGGUUCAAUCCCCACCCCCACCCCCAAAAUUAGUGACUAUUUUUGCAUGGUUUCCUAGUGUUAAAGUCAUUUUAAAAAAGAAAAGUUUAGUGAUUUCAACAGAAUACCUGAGCAUCAGCAUGAGUCAUCUUUCCUUUUUCCAAUAACCUAUUAUUUAAUUCCACAGGAACACAACUGUCUUGAUAGGGUGGUUCUCUUCUCACUGCAUGCAUUUAAAAAUUUUUAUUAUAAUUUAUCUCUUUGUGGGACAUACAAAAAUAAUUGUGUUUUUGCCAUUUAAUGGAGAAACAGGUGCAAGAGAGCUAUAUUUGGCUAAAGCUGGAUAUAGAAGGAAUAAAUAUUAACCUAUUCAGUUGGUUAUUGUGUUGUCUAGUUAAAGCAGUAUGAUACUGAGCUAAAACUCUUACAUAGUGCUAGGUGGGCUGCCAUGUUAAAAAAUAUGAGUUCAGAACAAAAAGUCAUAUGAAUAUGUAAUAACAAAUCUCACUAAUAUGUAUAAUUAUAAUGCACCAAUAAAAAGGAAAAUGUAUAAUGAAUUAUGGUGUUCUAAAUUUAAGAUAAUUUAAUGUGUCUUAUUUGUAAGGGAAUUGACUAUAUUAUGCAGAUAUUUUUCUUGCCAGAGAAUAAUAAUAAGGCUAAUAGAACCUGGUAGAUGAAGCCAGCUCUGGAGAGGGUAGAUGAGAGUAAUAAAAUUUUUUCAGGUAAAGAAAGUUAUUACUCUUUCUAAUUGAAUUUUUUACUAAGAUAAUCAUAAAUAUACUUGAAAUUAUUAAAAG
rnacentral:lncRNA from 1 species